UACGAAGGGGGCUAGCGUUGCUCGGAAUCACUGGCGUAAAGCGCACGUAGGCGGAUUGUUAAGUCAGGGGUGAAAUCCUGGAGCUCAACUCCAGAACUGCCUUUGAUACUGAAGAUCUUGAGUUCGGGAGAGGUGAGUGGAACUGCGAGUGUAGAGGUGAAAUUCGUAGAUAUUCGCAAGAACACCAGUGGCGAAGGCGGCUCACUGGCCCCGAUA
rnacentral:rRNA from 1 species